GGCGGCGUAGCCAAGCGGACUAAGGCGACGGUUUGCAAAACCGUUAUUCCGUGGGUUCGAAUCCCACCGCCGCCU
rnacentral:tRNA from 1 species